AUAAUAUUCAUGAUAACAUAAAAUUAUUAUUAUAAAUAGGUACUAAAAGUUCACGAAGAUGUAAGUGUUCUAUUCAGUGAAAGAAUUAUGGAAGAAGUAAUUAAACAGACUGCAAAAGAAGAAUCAUUGAAAGCGAUGCUGAAGUCAUGCAAAAAGAAGUUUUAUAAUAUCAAUACUCACAUCACAAUAGCUACGGUGUUCAAAAAGGAUAUGUAAGAUUAUAGAUGCAUAAUGGAAAGAAUGUAACGUGGAAAAAUAUGUUUCAUUUCUAUCACUAGAUUAUUUAAAUAAAAGCGGUAGUAAACGGUUUUAUUCUGCUCAUUCAAAUAUCAACAAUUUUAUUGAUAUACAGUCAACUCGCAAUAUAACGAAUUUCAAGGGACCGAGAAAAAAAUUCGUUAUAUCGAAAGUUCGUUACAUCGAAAUUCGUUAUAUCAAGAGAAUAUACCAAUUGAAUUCGUUAUAACAUGAUUUAAAACAAAAAUUCAAAAUGUUAUUAUUCGUAUACAUAUGUA